rnacentral:misc_RNA from 1 species
UCCGGUUUGUCACCGGCAGUCUCCUUAUAGUCCCCGACAUCACUCGCUGGCAAAUAAGGACAAGGGUUGCGCUCGUUACGGGACUUAACCCAACAUUUCACAACACGAGCUGACGACAGCCAUGCAGCACCUGUCACUGCGUUCCCGAAGGCACCCAGCCAUCUCUGGCCGGUUCGCAGGAUUUCAAGAGUAGGUAAGGUUCUUCGCGUUGCGUCGAAUUAAACCACAUGCUCCACCGCUUGUGCGGGCCCCCGUCAAUUCAUUUGAGUUUUAACCUUGCGGCCGUACUCCCCAGGCGGUCGACUUAUCGCGUUAACUUCACCACCAAGUCCAUAAAGAACCCAACGGUUAGUCGACAUCGUUUACGGCGUGGACUAC